rnacentral:rRNA from 1 species
AUUGAACGCUGGCGGCAGGCCUAACACAUGCAAGUCGAGCGGAGCGGCGGACGGGUGAGGAAUGCCUAGGAAUCGGCCUGUGAGUGGGAGAUAACGUUCGGAAACGGGCACUAAUACCGCAUACUCUCAGAUGAGCCUAGGUCGGAUUAGCUAGGUGGUGGGGUAAAGGCCUACCAAGGCGACGAACCGUAACUGGUACGAGAGGAUGAUCAGUCACAAUGGAACUGAGACACGGUCCAGACUCCUACGGGAGGCAGCAGUGGGGAAUAUUGCACAAUGGGCGAAAGCCUGAUGCAGCCAUGCCGCGUGUAUGAAGAAGGCCUUCGGGUUGUAAAGUACUUUCAGCGGGGAGGCGUUACCCGCAGAAGAAGCACCGGCUAACUCCGUGCCAGCAGCCGCGGUAAUAC